rnacentral:rRNA from 1 species
CGGGGUGAGUAAUGUCUGGGAAACUGCCUGAUGGAGGGGGAUAACUGCUGGAAACGGUAGCUAAUACCGCAUAACGUCGCAAGACCAAAGAGGGGGACCUUCGGGCCUCUUGCCAUCGGAUGUGCCCAGAUGGGAUUAGCUAGUAGGUGGGGUAACGACUCACCUAGGCGACGAUCCCUAGCUGGUCUGAGAGGAUGACCAGCCACAUGGAACUGAGACACGGUCCAG